UACGUAGGGGCCUAGCGUUGUCCGGAUUUAUUGGGCGUAAAGAGCUCGUAGGCGGUUCGGUAAGUCAGGUGUGAAAUCUCCACGCUCAACGUGGAGGCGCCACCUGAAACUGCCGUGACUCGAGUCCGGUAGGGGAGUGUGGAAUUCCCGGUGUAGCGGUGAAAUGCGCAGAUAUCGGGAGGAACACCAGUGGCGAAGGCGGGUCUCUGGGCCGAUACUGACGCUGAG
rnacentral:rRNA from 1 species